CCUACGGGUGGCAGCAGUCGAGAAUUUUUCACAAUGGGGGAAACCCUGAUGGAGCGACGCCGCGUGGAGGAUGAAGGCCUUCGGGUCGUAAACUCCUGUCAUCAUAGAACUGGUAUAUGGAGAGGAAGGGACGGCUAACUCUGUGCCAGCAGCCGCGGUAAUACAGAGGUCCCAAGCGUUGUUCGGAUUCACUGGGCGUAAAGGGUGCGUAGGAGGCUGGGAAAGUCGGAUGUGAAAUCUCACCGCUUAACGGUGAAACUGCAUUCGAUACUACUCGGCUAGAGGAUCGGAGGGGAGAGCAGAAUUCUUGGUGUAGCGGUGAAAUGCGUAGAUAUCAAGAGGAAUACCAACAGCGUAGGCAGCUCUCUGGAAGAUCUGACUCUGAGGCACGAAGGCCAGGGGAGCAAACGGGAUUAGAUACCCUUGUAGUC
rnacentral:rRNA from 1 species